rnacentral:sRNA from 1 species
GUGCGCCGCGCCUCUGAGGCGCAGCAUGUGAAGCGGAUACGGCAUCCAGUGCGCGGCGAGCCUCUCAGCCGGCCGGGAUGGCUACCACGGCCGAGCUCUUCGAGGAGCCUUUUGUGGCAGAUGAAUAUAUUGAGCGUCUUGUAUGGAGAACCCCAGGAGGAGGCUCUAGAGGUGGACCUGAAGCUUUUGAUCCUAAAAGAUUAUUAGAAGAAUUUGUAAGUCAUAUUCAGGAACUCCAGAUAAUGGAUGAAAGGAUUCAGAGGAAAGUAGAGAAACUAGAGCAACAAUGUCAGAAAGAAGCCAAGGAAUUUGCCAAGAAGGUACAAGAGCUGCAGAAAAGCAAUCAGGUUGCCUUCCAACAUUUCCAAGAACUAGAUGAGCACAUUAGCUAUGUAGCAACUAAAGUCUGUCACCUUGGAGACCAGUUAGAGGGGGUAAACACACCCAGACAACGCGCAGUGGAGGCUCAGAAAUUGAUGAAAUACUUUAAUGAGUUUCUAGAUGGAGAAUUGAAAUCUGAUGUUUUUACAAAUUCUGAAAAGGUAAGUGCUGUCAGAGGAUAAAACCAAAUCACAGCAUUAAUAACAGUGCCCU